UGGGGAAUAUUGCACAAUGGGCGCAAGCCUGAUGCAGCCAUGCCGCGUGUAUGAAGAAGGCCUUCGGGUUGUAAAGUACUUUCAGCGGGGAGGAAGGGAGUAAAGUUAAUACCUUUGCUCAUUGACGUUACCCGCAGAAGAAGCACCGGCUAACUCCGUGCCAGCAGCCGCGGUAAUACGGAGGGUGCAAGCGUUAAUCGGAAUUACUGGGCGUAAAGCGCACGCAGGCGGUUUGUUAAGUCAGAUGUGAAAUCCUCGGGCUCAACCUGGGACCUGCCUCUGUUACUUGCAAGCUUGAGUCUCUUAGAGGGGGGUAUAAUUCCAGGUGUAGCGGUGAAAUGCGUAUAGAUCUGGAGGAAUACCGUUUGCGAAGGCGGCCCCCUGGACGAAGACUGACGCUCAGGUGCGAAGGCGUGGGGAGCAAACAGG
rnacentral:rRNA from 1 species